UGAACUCCGCUAACGCCAAGGAACGGCUGUGUUUUUCAAACAAAAAAUAUAUUUACGUGUAUACGAACUUUUUAACAGCCUUGGCGAACUCGGUUAGAUUCCUCGGCCAAGGUAUCCCCGAGAAUGAUUUUGGCAAGAGCCAAGCUUUUAAAAUACUCAUAAGUCAUGUUGAAUAUUUAAAUGAAAUGAAUAUUUAUGUUAUGAAAUACAUAUUGAGAUGAA
rnacentral:lncRNA from 1 species